UACGUAGGGGGCGAGCGUUGUCCGCAGUUACUGGGCGUAAAGCGCGCGUAGGCGGGUUGGCAAGUCUGCUGUGAAAGCCCGGGGCUUAACUCCGGAGGGUCGGUGGAUACUGCCAGUCUUGAAGGUGCUAGGGAGAGAUGGAAUUACCGGUGUAGCGGUGAAAUGCGUAGAUAUCGGUAGGAACACCAGUGGCGAAGGCGGUCUCUUGGGGCAUUCUUGACGCUGAGGCGCGAAAGCUGGGGGAGCGAACGGG
rnacentral:rRNA from 1 species